UGGUUUUAGAUCCAAGAUUUGAGGCUGUGAGGAUGGAUUUCACAAGAACUGGAAAUUUCUUUCCUUUCACCCAAAAUUUUCUUUCUAAUUGGAAUUAAAGCCUCUGAAGCUGCAGAUAUGAGAUAGAAAGGGAGCAGGGAGGUUCAUUUUGUCCAACAGUACAUAGUCUUCACUCUUCAAUCUGACAGCUAUGAAUUUGCAGAGAUAGAAAGGGAGCAUGACAUAUUGUUGAUUUUGAACAGAAAAAACUUUCACUAGUUAAAUCUGACAGCUAUGAAUUCUGCUUCUUACGCUUAGCAUAUUGUUGAUUUUGAACAGUAAAAACUAGUUAAAUCUGACAGCUAUGAAUUCUGCUUCU